CAUUCAUAUUUUACAUUUUCUUUUCAAAUGUCAAGGACAGGAGCACCUGAGACGCAUACUUAGAGGUCAGACCUCGUUAUUUGACUGGUCUGAUCAACAUCAUUAGCAAGGACCUUAUCUCCCUGUGUUUUGGAAAGCCAAGUAGAUGCAAGAAGGAACCGAUGAAAAGCUUAAAGGCAACUUGUGAGGAGUUUAUUAUGGCAGUCACUAAGCAAGUAGUGGAUCCUACGCUUUCGUUUGUUGCCAAGCACGGCUUUUAAGGCGUACUCUACUCAGUCGUCUUUGUGGCAUAGCCUGGAUAUUCUUCUGGAGGAGCUACUCUACGGCUCUGUGAGUUACGCGCUCGUAAUAAAAGUCUAGCAGAUCAGACAACCCGGUGUACUGGAAAUUGGAGUUCUCAGGUACUACGAAGUAUAGCAACCAUCAGUGUGUACUUGUGAUUUGAGCGAACCAAAGGAUUCAAUCUGCCUGGGAGUUGUGAGCCGUCUGAAUCUGUUGAGAAUCCGCCAAAGGUGGUAAUCGUUGGGAUUUGGGUAAUCAACGAAGGUAAAAUCGGUAUGAAGAUCAAAUUACAAAAUCUGUCAUCCUAAGAAUCUGCCAAAAGUGACAUCAGUAGAGAAAAAUACUUGAUAUCUGUCCGUAUAAAGAAUCCGCCAAGAGGCGCCAAUGUAUAUUCAUAUCAUUAUAUUCAGCAUUUUUACAAA